GGAGGGAACAACUCAGUGGUAGAGCAAGCGCUUAGCAUGCACGAGGCCCUGGGUUCAAUCCCCAGUGCCUCCA
rnacentral:tRNA from 1 species